AGGAGCCAGGACGAGGGGCCCACCCCAGGCAGGGAGGAAAGUCAGAGCUGCUGAGGGUGGCUCGUCCCAGUGACCCGCUGAGGUCCUGCAGCCACUGGGACAGAAGGAAGGAGGAAGGAUGGCCUGAGCCGAGGAGCAGGGGCAGAGCUCAGGUUGGCAGGAGGUCAGGCUGCCUCAUCAGGCUGGAGCGGCAAGUCCACCCUGGGGCCCGGAUACUAGAUCCCUUCGCAAUGAGGGUGGUCCGUGGCCUGGAGCCCUUGCUCUGCCUUCUCCUCCUCGUACUCCUGGACCCCCACAGCCCCGAGGGGGGCCAUCUGCCUCAGCGAAGAUUUGAGUACAAGCUCAGCUUCAAAGGACCAAGGCUGGCAUUGCCUGGGGUUGGAAUACCCUUCUGGAGCCAUCACGGAGAUGCCAUCCCGGGCCUGGAGGAGGUACGGCUGGCCCCAUCCAUGCGGAACCGGAGUGGCGCCGUGUGGAGUACAACCCCCAUCCUCUUCCCUGCCUGGGAGGUGGAGAUACAGAUGAGGGUGACCGGGCCGGGGCGCCGGGGAGCCCAGGGCAUGGCUGUGUGGUACACCCAGGGCAGGGGCCAGGUAGGCCCUGUCCUGGGGGCGCCGGACUUGGGGGACGGCAUUGGAAUCCUCUUCGACUCCUCAGCCCAAGAUCCCCAGAACAGCCCUGCCAUCCAUGUGCUGGCCAGAGAUGGGCACACCCCCUACGAGCCGCUUGGGGAUGGAGGCAGCCUGGUGCUGGGCUCCUGCCGCCAGGACUUCCGGAACCGGCCGUACCCCUUCAGAGCACGGAUCACCUACUGGGGGCAGAGGCUGCGUGUGACUUUGAACAGCGGCCUCACUCCCAGCGACCCAGAUGAGGUCUGUGUCGAUGUGGGGCCCCUGCUUUUGGCCCCUGGAGGUUUCUUUGGGGUCUCGGCGGCCACGAGCAUCCUGGCAGAUGACCAUGACGUCCUGUCCUUCCUGACCUUCAGUCUGCAUGAGCCGGGUCCAGAGCCUCCCUCACAGCCCUUCCUGGAGACAGAGCAGCUCCGCCUGGAGAAGCAGCUGGAAGGGCUGCGGGCAAGGCUGGGCCUGGGCACCAAGGAAGACAUGACUCCAAAGCUGAACUAUGGAGUCCAGGAAGAGGGGGAACAAAGCUUUGGCCUGGAGGAGACACUGCACAGACACAGGCAGAUCCUGCAGACCCUCCAGGGUCUCUCCAAGCACUUGGCACAGGCUGAGCAGCAAUGGAAGCAGCAGCUGGGGUCCCCAGGCCAGAUCAGGCCUGAGGGAGGAUGGGACUCAGCCAAGGUCAGUGCCCUACUCCAUGGACAGCAGACUCUGCUGCAAGACCUGCAAGAGAUGAGGGAUGCAGCUGCUCACAUGGCCUCAAGAGCCCAGGUCUUCUACCUGCCCGUGGGCACCAAGCAUCAUUUCUCAGAGCUGGCCCAGAUCCUGAGCCUCCUGCAGAAGGACCUGCGGGGCCCAGCGGUGAGAGGGACAGCAGCGAGGACCACGGGGCUCAGCCCCCUUCUUCUAGCACUUCCACAGCCCCAGGCCCCUCCUGCCUUUGCCCUCCCCCCCUGGGACUCCUGUCAGACACACCUGUGUCCGUCGUGUCUGUGUGUGCAUGCACACGGGCAUGCAGGCACAGGGAUCGCAUUUUCUCUCUGCCUCCUCUGCUCUCUGGAGAGUUCCACAGACUGUCAGUACCAGCAGGGCCCUGGAGAUCACUUGGUCCAACUCCUACAAUGACCAGAAGAUAAAUGGGAAUGGUCUGUGCCCAAGAUCAUUCAAAGCUUAGUGGUGAAGUCCGCUCUUUCCUGUGCCCUACUCCAUCUUGCUCUUUUCCUUGCCCUCUCCAUCACCCUGUCUUUUGCUCUGUAUUUCUCUCUCUCACUUAUCUCUAGAGCCUUCAGCACCCUGAAAAUCCCAGGCCCCAGGCCCUCCUGGCUGUUCCCACAAAUAGGGACAUAGGAGCUGGGGUGGGGAGGCAGCUUUGUACCCUGCCUCCUCUCCAAGUUCCUUGGAUGAAAGCCAAGGUACCCCAACACUGAGAGAGGGAAACAAAGCCCCACAGUGGUCCAGAUUCUACGUCCUCUCCCUCCUUCUGAGUAAGAAGCUGAUCUAAGAUCUUAGAACAUCUCUUUUCAGAGAGCAGCAGCCAAGGACCCUCGCUCACCUGGCAGGUCCCCAAGGGUUUCCUCGUGCCUGCAGCCUGGCAUCUUCCUGUUCUUCCUCCUCAUCCAGACUGUAGGCUUCUUCUGCUAUGUACACUUCAGCAAGCAGAAGCUGGACAUGGG